GCGGGUAGACCGGAUGUUAAGUGCAGUGAAUUUGGACGGUCUAGCCUUGUGUUUUUUUUUAAUAUAACUUUAUUGAACAAACAAAACAAGCCGCCGGCACUUGUUGGUAUUUUUCCGGCGGAGACAAAAUGAUCUGCAGACUAGACCCCUGUAAUGCAGAAUCAAUCAGUCUCCCAAUCCUGGAGCUGUUUGUCCAGCAGUGAAGACCUAUGACCAGACUUCAGAGUAAACAGGAACUCUCCUGCGGUCUUUCUGAGCCUCCUUGAUCAGGAUCAGUGACAUCAGCAUCCUCCUGCAAGUGCUGGAGGUGCAUCACACUUCUGUACCUCAUGUUGUCACAGCUUGUGCCAUCCUCCACAACAUCUGCCUCUGUGCUGACGACACCGAGGCCCCAGAGGAAGAUGUGGAGGUGAUGAUGAGGAGGAAGCUGGUUUGGAGGUCACCGGCGGUGCUCUCUGGCAAGACCAACUACCAGCUGAGGUUUGGACAGCACUUGUCGCUGCGCUGUGACGUCACCGGCCGACAAACUCAGGACGCAGAACCCGAAUUUGGACCAUAGACUGUAAAAACAAUGGACAGAGCGAGCACUGAGGUCCCCCAUUGUAAAUGCAUUACUUCCUCUCCUCGCAAAAGUAGGCCGCCGCUUUCACCGUCAAUUCCUGAAACGGA